rnacentral:rRNA from 1 species
UGGGGAAUAUUGCGCAAUGGGCGGAAGCCUGACGCAGCGACGCCGCGUGGGGGAUGACGGCCUUCGGGUUGUAAACCUCUUUCAGCAGGGACGAAGCGAGAGUGACGGUACCUGCAGAAGAAGCACCGGCCAACUACGUGCCAGCAGCCGCGGUAAUACGUAGGGUGCAAGCGUUGUCCGGAAUUAUUGGGCGUAAAGAGCUCGUAGGCGGUUUGUUGCGUCGGCUGUGAAAUCCUGAGGCUCAACCUCAGGCCUGCAGUCGAUACGAGCAGACUAGAGUGUUGCAGGGGAGACUGGAAUUCCUGGUGUAGCGGUGAAAUGCGCAGAUAUCAGGAGGAACACCGGUGGCGAAGGCGGGUCUCUGGGCAACAACUGACGCUGAGGAGCGAAAGCGUGGGGAGCGAACA